GUUCCUUUUUUCUUGCUUUAGGAAUUUUGAGUGACCUUUAUUUGGCCUUAUGGGUGUGUGGAAAGGUAGGGGAUGGGAUGGGAGCUAGAAAUCCUUUCCACUUCUAGAGAAAUGCCCUCUACCAAGGAUUUAUGCUGACAAGGCAACAUAGGCCCCCCUAUCAGCUGAGGAUGAAAACAGCCACAGACAAUGGGAUAUGACACAGUAAUGAGUUCUCAUUUGUCAGGUGUCAGCUUGCUGAUAUGGUCUAAGGAUAUGGUGUUCAAUAAUUCUUAGAAAUCGGUAAUAACAAUACCAUUUACACAGCAGUUCUUCCUACAGUUUUCAAAGUAUCUCCACACACACUAUCUGUUUUAAUUUCCAUCAUAAUGCUAUGAGGAACCUGACAUAAAUAUCACCACUCUCAUUUUAUAGAUGAGUCAAUACAUUCUGAGAAGUGAAGUGACUAGGCCCAAGGCCACUCGGCUGCUCCAUAAUUGACCUCAGACUUGAACCCAAGUCCUCACCCUCGGUUCAUUCCUUUUUUCCAUGAAACUUUAGCAGGCUGUUUGUCCUACAGAAUCCAUCUAUUUUGAUUAUGAAAUGUGCUUGCAAACAUGUUAGGCCCUUAAGCAUUUGUGUUUAUAAAAUGAUUUCAUAAUUGGUAGUAGCAGCCCAUUUUUUAAACCUCAUUCUCUUUUUGAUCUAACAGGAAAUGAAGGUUUUCUUCUGGAUACCCCAGAUCUUUGAUGAUGCCAGUAAGGAAACAUCCACACCCUUUGGUUAGACGAUGAAGCAUGAGGCUGUGGUUAUUUUAAUCAGUUACUCCAUGGAAGGUUGAAAGCUGUUAAGCAGAAUCAAUCUUAGGACAGAGAGCGGUGGAACUCCAGAAGGUGUAACCUUACCAGCAUCUUGGUGGAUGCUUCCUGAUUGUAAAGCUAAAGUGGCUAGCCUCUAGGUACAACCGGUUGGCAACAGGCUGAUCUUCUCCCUUCUGGAUUCUUCAGAGAGGGUUGACUGAUAAAGCCCUGAAGAGCUGUUGAGCAUGCCAAGUCUUCUGGUGUGAGGGCAGCUACCAUGUCCCAGUCUAUGCUGAGCCUGUCUUGUGUAUUUCCAAGUACUCAGGAUCGUCUCAGCUGCCAUGCCUGUGACCCUUAGAAAUGUACGUGGCAUCUACUUCAGGAAAGGCCCCCUGUGCAAACAAGAUGAAAUCGCAGAGCAGAUCCACAACUCCCCCGCUCCGUGCACAUGGGAUGGUUCACUUGGCUUUGAAAGUGCAUCCAAGCUGCCUCGUUCAGACGUCGGUGGAGGGCAGGCCUCGGCCCGCAUUCUCUGACUCCUGACAUGACUUCUCGAUAGAGCGCCAGGAUUUUUCUCAAGUGUAACAAUAUGAAUUAUCAAGUCACUUUAAAACACGUGUGAUGUAUGUGUGCAUUUAUUUCACAGGAAUGGUAUAAAGAUUAAAUACUUAAUGAAUCCAUUUUUCAUAUCAAGGAUAUAUUUGCCCUACGCCUAAAUAUAUCUCUCCCUUCUGUUUCUCAUGAGAAAUAUAGCUAUCUUUAUUAUGUAAUCAGUAAUAGAUCAUUCCUUCUAAGCAGGAUCUAAUUUUAGCAACAUGAUGAAUGGCCUGGGAAUGUAUUCCACUGCCCUCUGCAGAAAGGAAUAUAUAUCAGACCUGCUCAGGUGUGUGUCAUUUCUUUAUAUCGGGAGCUUUCUGCUCCCCAAGUGGCAGCCUGGGUUUUUCUGGUUGAAAGCCCCAAGUUCUGUCUCUGUUUCGGCUCCUGCAGACACCGUUAGGAAACAACCGUGUGUGAACAAUAACCAGGUUUGCUAGCUCCAGCCAAUGAGUACGUGGCUCUCCUGAGCCUGUAUUUGAAAAUGACCCACUGGGUUAUUUAUUUAUUUUUUUUCCCCUUCAAUUCAUCUCUGUGCAGGAACUGCUUGUGGAGGACUACCCUCAACCACCAACCGCCUCCCCAACUGCCAUCUCUCAUUUUUCCCCAUGUUGUCUUUAAGCAGAAAAAUUUCUUUAAAAUGCAGGAAUCAGGGAUGACCGGGUGGCUCAGUCGGUUAAGUGACUGCCUUCAGCUCAGGUCAUGAUCCCAGGGUCCUGGGAUCGAGUCCCACAUCAGGGUCCUUGCUCCGUGGGGAGUCUGCUUCUCCCUCUGCUGGCCGCUUUCCCCGCUUGUGCUCUCUCUGACAAAUAAAUAAAUAAAAUCUUAAAAAAAUAAAAAUAAAAUAAAAUGCAGGAAUCAUUCCAGUUUGGCUAGCAGGAUAAGGAAGGAGUAGCUUCUUUUUUUUCCUGGAGCUUCCAAAGAGAGAAUGUUCAUUUUUUUUCCAUGCUCCCUGUGAGUUUUCUGGCUGCUUCUGAACAUGCAUCAUAGGCAUCCGUACCCCACAUCUUGAUAACAUUUUAAUUUUAAGACUAUUUUGAAUUCAUUUUUAAUUUAUCUGUAAGAGAGGCAAAGCAGUACUUUAUCCCCAUUUUGCAGCUGCGAAGAUUGAAGUUCGGACAGACUAAAAUGUGACUCAUUCAAAUUUUGACAUAUGACCCUAUAAGCACCCAAACCUACAACUCCAUAUCAUACUACUGACUAUGCUUAAUAUUUAAUGGUAUCUAUAGAAGAUGAAAGGUAAAGUUUAGGUUUUUGGUUUGUUUUUUUUUUUGCAACAAUUGUGUAUGUAAAACUCUGAAAUUCUUUGUGCAACUACUAUAUUUGUUGAUUCUAAGAUGUCUUUUCUUUUCUCUUAUACUCAUGCCUCUGAACCUGGGACACAUCCUACAGUCAAUGGGGAAUCAUAAUCUAACCGACAAUUUUUUUUCUUUCUUAGUGGUCACAGCAGACUGAUCCUUAAAAGGUCCCAAAUCUUCACCCCCUCUUUGUCUCCAUGUCCUUUGCAAUGUCACUUUGUUAACUUCUCAUCAAACAGGUCAAUUUCCUCAUGCCUUAAAAAUGGGUUGGUCUCAUCUUUACUUAUUCCUAUAGAGGGCGCUACUGGUGCCCUACCCAUUCCUCUUUGCUCUUAACCCACUUCAGCCUGCCUGACUUCCAGAAGCACCUGCAUUUCUUUGCCUGAGGGCCGUCUCUGGCUGCCAAAGUCCGCUUUGCCUGUUGUGAUGGCUUAAAAAUAUGUUUACAGAUCUUUUGACACUCCUCCCUCCUCUCCUCUUGAAUGUGGGCCAGACUUUAUGACUUGACUCUCUUCUAUCAAAUGGAAUGUGGUGGAAAUGACAAUGUGAUUUUGAAAACUAGGUCAUAAAAGGCACUGUGACCAUGCUCUGUCUUGGAUCACUCACUCUGGCAUAAGCCAUAUGUCAUGAGGACCCUGGAGUCGUCCAGUGGAAAGGUCUACGUGGAGAGGAACUGGCCAGCCACGUUGAGUGGGUUAUCUUCGAUCCUCCACCCCUAGUCAAGUCUUCAGAUAACUAAAGUCCUGCCGAUUUCUUCACUGCAACCUCAAGAGGAAACCCAAGCCAGAAUUAACCAGCUAAGCUAUUCCCAAAUCCCUAACCCUCACAAACAAUAUGAGAUAAUAAAUGUGUAUCAUUAUAUUAAGUCACUAAGUUUUGGGAUAAUGUAUUGCUCAUCAAUAUAGAGCUAAACCCAUCCAUGUGGCAGGCUAGAUAUGGUGGCAGAUUACCUUUUGGAAGCAUUCCUCAACAAGUGACAACAGUAGGUUGUAUAAACACCAUAGAUUUCUCACCCCUUGGGUAGGAUAACUGAACUCCCAGUUUCCCCAGAAGGAUUAAGUUCCAGUAGCCCAGAAUAAUAACUGGCUUGAUAACACCCUUUAUUGGCCACUUUCCCUUUCCUGCCUAACUUCUUCACUUCCCUACCAGUGUUUCCCUCAUUUUCCAUAUUAAAUACCUGCUCUCUAGUCCUUAUCUCAGAAUCGCAUCUUUUGGGGGAAUUGGGAAUUCCACAGGUCAAUUCCACAAAACCAGUUGCCAAGUUCCGUGCAUUUUCAUUUAAAAUUCUCUUUCUGGGGCUGCAUUUCAAUAGCACCAACCUGAACUGAUGCAAAGAAUAAAUGAAUGAAUAGGGGUCGCGUGGGUGGCUCAGUCUGUUAAGUG